rnacentral:tRNA from 1 species
GGAGUUAUAGCUCAGCGGUAGAGCACAUGCUUAGCAUGCACAAGGUCCUGGGGUUCAAUCCCCAGUGCCGCCA